GCCAGGCGUGGUGGCUCACGCCUGUAAUCCCAGCACUUUGGGAGGCUGAGGCGGGAGGAUUAUUUGAGGUCAGGAGUUCAAGACCAGCCUGGCCAACAUAGUGAAACCCUGUCUCUA
rnacentral:SRP_RNA from 1 species